GCUCACUAUGGCAGCGCAUACACUAAAGUUAGAAUGAUACAGAGAAGAUUAGCAUGGCUCCUGUGCAAGGAUGACAUGUAAAUUUGUGAAGUGUUCCAUAUUCUA